rnacentral:rRNA from 1 species
GAUGAACGCUAGCUACAGGCUUAACACAUGCAAGUCGAGGGGCAGCACAGUGUAGCAAUACAUGGGUGGCGACCGGCGCACGGGUGCGUAACGCGUAUCCAACCUUCCCGUUACUCUUGGAUAGCCUUCCGAAAGGGAGAUUAAUACAAGAUGGUAUUCAAAUUCCGCAUGUUAUUUGAAUUAAAGAUUUAUCGGUAACGGAUGGGGAUGCGUGACAUUAGAUAGUAGGCGGGGUAACGGCCCACCUAGUCUACGAUGUCUAGGGGUUCUGAGAGGAAGGUCCCCCACACUGGAACUGAGACACGGUCCAGACUCCUACGGGAGGCAGCAGUGAGGAAUAUUGGUCCAAAUGGUCGGAAGACUGAACCAGCCAAGUAGCGUGAAGGAUGAAGGUUCUAUGGAUUGGUAAACCUUCUUUUGUAAGGGAGCCAAUAAGGCGCACGUGUGCGUCGAUGAGAGUACCUUACGAAUAAGCAUCGGCUAACUCCGUGCCAGCAGCCGCGGU